GUUUAGCUUUGGUGCAUUAACACUUGUGUAGUAUGCUUUGUGUUACAUCCUGUAGUUAGGUUUUGUAUCAUAAGCUUUAUGAUUUGUGAUAUAGUUCCUCUCUGACUGUGUGUUAUGACUACCCUCCUUCUAAUUAUGUCCAAGUCUCUGCUCUUCUUAUCCUUUCUGCUACUGUACCCAGCUGGCUGGGACUGAACACCCUGUGAGCAAGGAUGGCGUGUCUCUUCCAUCAGUUUUCCCAGUUGAGUCAUCCACAGUGUCCCACACUAUGGUUAGUUUCACCCUCUCUUCCCCAGCAUCAGCCAAGACUCAAGUUUCUGUCGCUUCUUUUCUGUGGAAGAUGUGAGAUUAUGUGAGGAUGGAGAAAAAGCAGACUGAGUGGUAGAAACUUUCUCUGGUUUCUUUUCAGGAUGUUAACUUUUACCCUGUUACUAAUUACCAGAUAAUCUGUUUGCAUUCUCAUUUGCACUGUACAGUAAUUGGAAGACAACACUUCUCAAUUGCCCCUACAAAAUACAUACUCUGCAGUCCCAUUCCUUAGGAGAACAGGACAUCCAUAAACAGGGAGAGGUUGGCAUUUAUCUGAACUAGACCUCCAGGCCAUUGGCAGGCUUCAGGUAACCACGCCCAGGGGUUGAGGUUUUGGAGUGGUUAAGCAAGUCUUAAAUCUGUGUCUCUUUCAGCAUUCAAAUGGAUGAGGAAGCAAGUGGACCACCAGUACAGACACUGCUGAUGACCUGCAGCUUCCGUACCUAAUCUUCCCCCAGUGAGAACAGUGAUCACUCAAUAAAAUGUCAUGUCAAACUGCAAGACUGCUUGGAACAGUCAUGAACGCUCACUUGCCACCUGUGUUAAGAGACUUCAUAAAGGGCAGAACCAUAAGAAUUUGGUCCCACUGCAAGUGUUAAGUAAAAUGCUUCAUCCAUUCUGGGAUCUACAUACUGCAAACUGGAAUCGUAAUCCUCCAUCUCUGCUUUCCUCUCACUUGAUCUUGUUUGGAAAUGUGAAUAAAUACCUUAUUUUGGAAACUUGGUUCAUAAUUUGUGUUUAUAUAAACAGCUGGUCAGACUGUCCUUAAUCCUGACUGGUAUUUUUGCAAGUGAUCACACCAUUAAUGGUAA
rnacentral:lncRNA from 1 species